rnacentral:rRNA from 1 species
GACGGAGAGUGCAAACGUUGUUCGGAUUUACUGGGCGUAGAGGGCACGUAGGCGGCCCGGCAACUCAGUUGUGGAAUCCCGACGCUCACCGUCGGAACGGCAAUUGAAAAUACCGGGCUCGAGGGCAUGAGGGGUCGCAGGAACUCCUGGUGGAGCGGUGAAAUGCGUAGAUAUCAGGAGGAACGCCGGAGGCGAAAGCGUGCGACUGGCGUGUCCCUGACGCUGAGGUGCGAAAGCUAGGGGAGCAAACAGG